rnacentral:rRNA from 1 species
UACGGAGGGGGCAAGCGUUGCUCGGAAUUACUGGGCGUAAAGGGUCCGCAGGUUGUUUUGUAAGUUAGAUGUGAAGGCUCAGGGCUUGACCCGGGAAUGGCAUGUAAAACUGCAAAACUUGAGUCUAGGAGAGGUUGGCGGAAUACCCGGUGUAGCGGUGAAAUGCGUAGAUAUCGGGAGGAACACCAGCGGCGAAGGCGCCUAACUGGCCUAGUUCUGACACUCAUGGACGAAAGCGUGGGGAGCGAACCGG